rnacentral:tRNA from 1 species
GGGCGUGCAAUCAUUGGAGAGAUAAGCUGACUGUAAAUCAGUGGUCGUUGACUGUGGAGGUUCGAAUCCUUCCAUUCCCACCAUAU